rnacentral:rRNA from 1 species
AACGAACGCUGGCGGCAGGCUUAACACAUGCAAGUCGAGCGCCCCGCAAGGGGAGCGGCAGACGGGUGAGUAACGCGUGGGAAUCUACCCAUCUCUACGGAAUAACGCAUGGAAACGUGUGCUAAUACCGUAUACGUCCUUCGGGAGAAAGAUUUAUCGGAGAUGGAUGAGCCCGCGUUGGAUUAGCUAGUUGGUGGGGUAAAGGCCUACCAAGGCGACGAUCCAUAGCUGGUCUGAGAGGAUGAUCAUCCACACUGGGACUGAGACACGGCCCAGACUCCUACGGCAGGCAGCAGUGGGGAAUAUUGGACAAUGGGCGCAAGCCUGAUCCAGCCAUGCCGCGUGAGUGAUGAAGGCCCUAGGGUUGUAAAGCUCUUUCACCGGUGAAGAUAAUGACGGUAACCAGAGAAGAAGCCCCGGCUAACUUCGUGCCAGCAGCCGCCGUAACAC